UGCGUUCUCACUAUUCUGGGAUGAGCGAUCAUAGACCACUCGGAAUCAGAAAUCAGGGGUUUAGGGUUUUGGGGGUAUAAGCGUUGUAGAGAAAAAUUGAGAGGGAAUAUACUUGAUUCAGGGGUGUGAAAACGUGGCCCCAAGUGAUUGGUGGUGAGGUUAAUAACCGUCAGAUUAGUGGAAAGAUAUCGAGGUUUAUUUUGGAGGGAGUGGAUGGCCACCGAGUCACCGACCAGCGACAAUCCUUUCAGAUGGAAAUGGAUUCAAGACAAGCUCUAUGAGACUUGGAGCAGAUGUUAUUGUCUUCAGUCGCCACUUGAAAUCAAGGUCACUGACUCAAAGUGUUGGGACUCCUUUCUUAUACAUUUUUGAGGCAGGUGGGCUACGACAAGAUAGUUGUACCAACGGUGGAUUAUGAGUUUAACUCAUCAGCCAGAACAUUCAACCCCAUAAUUCCACAUAAUGAAGACAAGUUUUCUUCUAACCUCACCAUGCUGUUACACUGGUCUCCUUAUUCAACGGAAGAGGAGUUGCUGAAGCAAUUUGAUGAUUUAGGGGAUCAUGGAACAAAACUUGUCAUUUACAAUCUUUGGUUAAAUGAUGAUGGGGACAUGGAA